rnacentral:rRNA from 1 species
AGAGUUUGAUCCUGGCUCAGAACGAACGCUGGCGGCGCGCCUAACACAUGCAAGUCGAGCGAGAAGGUGUAGCAAUACACUUGUAAAGCGGCGAACGGGUGAGGAAUACAUGGGUAAUCUACCAUCGAGUGGGGAAUAACCAACCGAAAGGUUGGCUAAUACCGCGUACGCCUCCGGAUCUUCGGGUUCGGAGGGAAAGCUGCACUGUGAGUGUAGCGCUCUUUGAUGAGCUCAUGUCCUAUCAGCUUGUUGGUAGGGUAACGGCCUACCAAGGCUUUGACGGGUAGCUGGUCUGAGAGGACGAUCAGCCACACUGGCACUGGAACACGGGCCAGACUCCUACGGGAGGCAGCAGUAGGGAAUAUUGCGCAAUGGGCGAAAGCCUGACGCAGCGACGCCGCGUGGGGGAUGAAGGUCUUCGGAUUGUAAACCCCUUUCGGGAGGGAAGAUGGAACGAGCAAUCGUUCGGACGGUACCUCCAGAAGCAGCCACGGCCAACUUCGUGCCAGCAGCCGCGGUAAUACGAAGGUGGCAAGCGUUGUUCGGAUUCACUGGGCGUACAGGGUGUGUAGGCGGUUUGGUAAGCCUUCUGUUAAAGCUUCGGGCCCAACCCGGAAAGCGCAGAGGGUACUGCCAGGCUAGAGGGUGGGAGAGGAGCGCGGAAUUCCCGGUGUAGCGGUGAAAUGCGUAGAGAUCGGGAGGAAGGCCGGUGGCGAAGGCGGCGCUCUGGAACACACCUGACGCUGAGACACGAAAGCGUGGGGAGCAAACAGGAUUAGAUACCCUGGUAGUCCACGCCCU